CCUACGGGCGGCAGCAGUAAGGAAUAUUGGUCAAUGGACGAGAGUCUGAACCAGCCAAGUAGCGUGAAGGAUGACUGCCCUAUGGGUUGUAAACUUCUUUUAUAUGGGAAUAAAAUGUUCCACGUGUGGGAUUUUGUAUGUACCAUAUGAAUAAGGAUCGGCUAACUCCGUGCCAGCAGCCGCGGUAAUACGGAGGAUCCGAGCGUUAUCCGGAUUUAUUGGGUUUAAAGGGAGCGUAGGUGGAUUGUUAAGUCAGUUGUGAAAGUUUGCGGCUCAACCGUAAAAUUGCAGUUGAAACUGGCAGUCUUGAGUACAGUAGAGGUGGGCGGAAUUCGUGGUGUAGCGGUGAAAUGCUUAGAUAUCACGAAGAACUCCGAUUGCGAAGGCAGUUCACUGGACUGCAACUGACACUGAGGCUCGAAAGUGUGGGUAUCAAACAGGAUUAGAUACCCGAGUAGUC
rnacentral:rRNA from 1 species